rnacentral:hammerhead_ribozyme from 1 species
AUCAGCUGACGAGUCCCAGACAGGACGAAACGCGCGUCCUAAAU